UGGCGAACGGGUGCGUAACACGUGAGAAACCUGCCCUGGACUUGGGAAUAACAGUCGGAAACGACUGCUAAUACCGAAUACCUUCACGACAUCGCAUGGUGAUGUGAAGAAAGCUUUUGCGGUUCAGGAGGGUCUCGCGGCCUAUCAGCUUGUUGGUGAGGUAACGGCUCACCAAGGCAUCGACGGGUAGCUGGUCUGAGAGGAUGAUCAGCCACACUGGGACUGAGACACGGCCCAGACUCCUACGGGAGGCAGCAGUGGGGAAUAUUGCACAAUGGGCGAAAGCCUGAUGCAGCAACGCCGCGUGCGGGAAGAAGGCCUUAGGGUUGUAAACCGCUUUCAGCAGGGAAGAAAAUGACGGUACCUGCAGAAGAAGGUGCGGCCAACUACGUGCCAGCAGCCGCGGUGACACGUAGGCACCAAGCGUUGUCCGGAUUUAUUGGGCGUAAAGAGCUCGUA
rnacentral:rRNA from 1 species